rnacentral:ncRNA from 2 species
AUAAUACUACGGUUCGUCGGUGCCCGAGGGGUUAACCCAAGGGCUUAAAAGGGAACACAGCAGAACUGGGCUGCUCCCGCAAUUGUACGCAGCGAGUCCGCGCUCCACUUGCCACUGGUUUUUACCGGGAAGGCCGGCGCGAGAUGAUGACCUGCGAGCCAAGAGACCUGCCGGCUCAACUUUAGCUUU